rnacentral:rRNA from 1 species
GACGAAGGUGGCGAGCGUUGUUCGGAAUCACUGGGCAUAAAGCGCACGUAGGCGGCGACGUAAGUUGGGUGUGAAAUCCCUCGGCUCAACCGGGGAACUGCGUCUGAUACUGGAUGGCUUGAAUUCGGGAGAGGGAUGCGGAAUUCCAGGUGUAGCGGUGAAAUGCGCAGAUAUCAGGAGGAACACCGAUGGCGAAGGCAGGACUCUGGGCCGAUACUGACGCUGAGGAGCGAAAGCGUGGGGAGCGAACAGG